UACGUAGGGGGCUAGCGUUGUCCGGAAUCAUUGGGCGUAAAGCGCGUGUAGGCGGUCCGGUAAGUCCGCUGUGAAAGUCGGGGGCUCAACCCGUCGAAUGCCGGUGGAUACUGUCGGGCUAGAGUGCGGAAGAGGCGAGUGGAAUUCCUGGUGUAGCGGUGAAGUGCGCAGAUAUCAGGAGGAACACCGGUGGCGAAGGCGGCCCACUGGAUCGGUACUGACGUGGAGGUGCGAAAGCCGUUGGGGAGCAAACAGG
rnacentral:rRNA from 1 species